GUUCCUCUCUGGAUCUCCUGCUAGUCUGGGAUCAGCUGCAGUUAAUUCCCAAAACUCCUGUGUCCUGUUGCUGCUCUGGCUGGUCCCUUCCCCUCCACUGGGAAGGCUUUACAAGGACACUUUGAAAUAGCAAACAGCUUGUGGAAACCAUCACGUGCUGACAGAUUCACAGGAAUGGGCGCAAAGUUUGUGAUGCUGAGCAGUGCUAGAGGAGCCCCAGCACGGUGAGGUGGUGGCUGCUACAG